rnacentral:rRNA from 1 species
CGAGGCCUACGGGGGGCAGCAGUGGGGAAUAUUGCACAAUGGGGGAAACCCUGAUGCAGCGACGCCGCGUGAGUGAAGAAGUAUCUCGGUAUGUAAAGCUCUAUCAGCAGGGAAGAAAAUGACGGUACCUGACUAAGAAGCCCCGGCUAACUACGUGCCAGCAGCCGCGGUAAUACGUAGGGGGCAAGCGUUAUCCGGAUUUACUGGGUGUAAAGGGAGCGCAGACGGCUGUGCAAGUCUGGAGUGAGAGGCGGGGG